CCCCUUGCUCUGCUGCCAUCACCCUCUGAGACCUCCUGGAGCGUGCCGGGCCAUGUCCCCAGAGUCUGGCAUGACUGACCUCACUGCAGGUGACCUCACUCUGCCACGGGCUGCGUCCGUCGACGUUCAGACAUGGAACAUCUCGAGUCCCGCCAUGCAUUCAACACACCUCACCAGGGACGUCACCGCCCAGCCACACACAUGCUGCCGAGAUGGCGGUUUCCCCGUGUGACCCCGGACCUGCCACCAGGUGUCCACCAGGUGUCCAACCCCGGGAAAGAUCAGCUUCAAAAUUCAAAGUGUGGUUUCUUGUGAAUACGUAUUGCUUUUGCACCAUUUUAAUCCACAGAAGCAUGAGCCCGGCAGGUUCAUACAGCUGUUACACGGGGUAGUGAUGUUCCUUUUUAGUGGCAUUGCUGGGAGUGAGCUAAUCCAGGAGUGACUAGCUGUGCUGGAGAGGCCCAGAGUCCCGAGGGACCGUGGGGAGCAGGGAGGUGCCAGAAGCCAGCCCGCUGGACGGAGGCUAAUGAACUUGAGCUCCUCCCGCCUCCCAAGCCACUGGGU